rnacentral:rRNA from 1 species
AACGUAGGAGACAAACGUUAUCCGGAGUUACUGGGCGUAAAGGGCGUGUAGGUGGUAGUGUAAGUCUGGCGUGAAAUUUUUCGGCUUAACCGGGAAAGGUCGUCGGAUACUGCACAACUAGAGGACGGUAGAGGCGUGUGGAAUUCCGGGUGUAGUGGUGAAAUGCGUAGAGAUCCGGAGGAACACCGGUGGCGAAGGCGGCAUCCUGGACCGACACUGACACUGAGGAGCGAAAGCCAGGGGAGCAAACGGG